AUCUAUGGCCAUCCCACCCCGAAUGCGCCUGAUCUCACCUGGUUUUACAAGCUAAGCAGGUUUGAGCCUGGUGAGUACUUGGAAGGGAGAAAUUGUAAUUU
rnacentral:rRNA from 1 species